UACGUAGGGCGCAAGCGUUAUCCGGAAUAUUGGGGCGUAAAGAGCUCGUAGGCGGUUUGUCGCGUCUGCCGUGAAAGUCCGGGGCUCAACUCCGGAUCUGCGGUGGGUACGGGCAGACUAGAGUGAUGUAGGGGAGACUGGAAUUCCUGGUGUAGCGGUGAAAUGCGCAGAUAUCAGGAGGAACACCGAUGGCGAAGGCAGGUCUCUGGGCAUUAACUGACGCUGAGGAGCGAAAGCAUGGGGAGCGAACAGG
rnacentral:rRNA from 1 species